rnacentral:rRNA from 1 species
UGGGGGAUAUUGCACAAUGGGCGAAAGCCUGAUGCAGCGACGCCGCGUGGGGGAUGAAGGCUUUCGGGUUGUAAACCUCUUUCGCUAUCGAACAAGGCCCGCUUAGGGUGGGUUGAGGGUAGGUGGAGAAGAAGCGCCGGCUAACUACGUGCCGGCAGCCGCGGUAAUACGAAGGGCGCGAGCGUUGUCCGGAAUUAUUGGGCGUAAAGGGCUUGUAGGCGGCUUGUUGCGCCUGCUGUGAAAACGCGGGGCUUAACUUCGCGCGUGCAGUGGGUACGGGCAGGCUUGAGUGUGGUAGGGGUGACUGGAAUUCCAGGUGUAGCGGUGGAAUGCGCAGAUAUCUGGAGGAACACCGAUGGCGAAGGCAGGUCACUGGGCCAUUACUGACGCUGAGGAGCGAAAGCAUGGGUAGCGAACAGG